UGGGGAAUAUUGGACAAUGGGGGAAACCCUGAUCCAGCGACGCCGCGUGAGUGAAGAAGUAUUUCGGUAUGUAAAGCUCUAUCAGCAGGGAAGAAAAUGACGGUACCUGACUAAGAAGCCCCGGCUAACUACGUGCCAGCAGCCGCGGUAAUACGUAGGGGGCAAGCGUUAUCCGGAUUUACUGGGUGUAAAGGGAGCGUAGACGGCAUAGCAAGUCUGAUGUGAAAGAUCGGGGCUCAACCCCGGGCCUGCAUUGGAAACUGUUAAGCUGGAGUACAGGAGAGGUAAGCGGAAUUCCUAGUG
rnacentral:rRNA from 1 species